rnacentral:rRNA from 1 species
UACGUAGGGACCAAGCGUUGUUCGGAUUUACUGGGCGUAAAGGGCGCGUAGGCGGCUUAACAAGUCACUUGUGAAAUCUCCGGGCUUAACUCGGAACGGCCAAGUGAAACUGUCAAGCUAGAGUGCAGAAGGGGCAAUCGGAAUUCUUGGUGUAGCGGUGAAAUUCGUAGAUAUUCGGAGGAACACCAGUGGCGAAGGCGGCUCACUGGCUCGGUACUGACGCUGAGGUGCGAAAGCGUGGGGAGCAAACAGG